AGGACGAACGCUGGCGGCGUGCCUAAUGCGUGCAAGUCGCACGCAGGGAGCUUGCUCCCUGAGUGGCGCACGGCUGAGGAUCACGUGGACAUGCCUCCUUGUGGGGACAACCCCGCGAAAGCGGGGCUAAUCCCGCAUACGCUCGGCAACGAGGAAAGCGGCAACGCGCAGGGAGAGUCGGCCCGCGGCCCAUCGAGGUUGGUUGGUGGGGUAAUGGACCUACCGAGCCGGUGACGGGUAGCUGGUCUGGUGAGGACAGACAGCCAG
rnacentral:rRNA from 1 species